CGAAUAUUUCGCCUUUUAGACCUGAAGUCCACAGAGAAGCUCAAGAGUGAGGAGGGACUUUAUUAACAGAUACAGACAGGACUCUGGAGUGGGAAUCACUGCAUGGACUCAGAAUCACGUUAAAAACCAUUGACUGUGAACACAGUUCAUCACAGCGUCGACUAAUGAGGUUCAAACUGAACCACGAAAGGGGAGACCAGAUAGAACCAGAACCUGACCCCCGAUUUCCAUCGCAUCCAGAACGUCUACGAAAAGGUCGUAUCCUCUGGUCGUAGCUGAUCGUAACCAUUCAAGUUAACGUGCCAAUUUCCACCGGCUUCUUUCCGUUCCUCCACCUCCUCCUGCUCUGCGGGCCCCUCCCCUUCCUCCCAGGGAUCUGAACUACAGCAAGUACAUGUUCAUCCACUCCGGUAAGAUGCGCCGCCUCGUCGCCGCCCCCAUCAUUCUGUUUUACUGGAACUUAUUUUUGACCCGAGUCAGGAACUGAGGAGUGAUGAGACCAGAUCUUUAACCCCCGUAAUCACAGCCUGCAGGUGGAUGCUGGGGUGGGGAGGUGCAGUAUUUUAGCAGGGCAGUGGAGGCAAAAACAGGAAAUCCUGCCGCUGAAAUAGAGCGCCAAACCGGGAGUGUGUUCGUCAUGUGAUUGUGAGAAGUGUAAAAUCAGUGCAGCUGGAGUUGACUGCCUGAACUAGCUCUCAGGCUUUGCUCUGUCUAUGGCACAGCAGCAGUGCUUUAAUACAGUUCACAUGAGGGCUAGGUGAUAAACCAAAAAUUUACCGAUACCGAAAUUUACAACAACAAGCGACGUAUUUGGUGUCACUUUUGGUUUUGGAUGUGAGUAGGUAGGCUAAGGUCUCAAGUCCCUUUAACCGCCAAUUUCCACCACAUCCUGAACGGCCACGAAAAGGUCGUAUCCUCCGAUCGUAGCUGAUCGUAACCAUUCAAG